rnacentral:tRNA from 1 species
AGCCUCGUAACUCAAGUGGCUAGAGUUUUGGCUGUAUUUAAGCCUUCUACUUGUUUUUGUGGGUUCGAAUCCCACUGAGGCCG